rnacentral:tRNA from 3 species
GCGUCUAUAGCUCAGGUGGAAAGAGCUGCAGUUUCCUAAACUGUGAGUCGGGGGUUCGAAUCCCUCUAGGCGCACCA